GAUGAACGCUAGCUACAGGCUUAACACAUGCAAGUCGAGGGGCAGCGGUAUCGAAAGCUUGCUUUCGGUAGCCGGCGACCGGCGCACGGGUGAGUAACGCGUAUCGAACCUGCCUCAUACUCGGGAAUAGCCUUGCGAAAGUAAGAUUAAUGCCCGGUGUUUUCAGAGUCCCGCAUGAGGCUUUGAACAAAGAUUUAUCGGUAUGAGAUGGCGAUGCGUCCCAUUAGCUUGUUGGCGGGGUAACGGCCCACCAAGGCAUCGAUGGGUAGGGGUUCUGAGAGGAAGGUCCCCCACAUUGGAACUGAGACACGGUCCAAACUCCUACGGGGGGCAGCAGUGAGGAAUAUUGGUCAAUGGGCGGAAGCCUGAACCAGCCAAGUAGCGUGCAGGAAGACGGCCCUCCGGGUUGUAAACUGCUUUUAGUUGGGAAUAAAACGGGGCUCGUGAGCCCCCUUGCAUGUACCAUCAGAAAAAGGACCGGCUAAUUCCGUG
rnacentral:rRNA from 1 species